UGGGUAGGAAAAAGAAGAGGAUAGAUCCAAGAUUGUGGUCAACUUCCGGAGGAAGGUUGAAAAAGAGUGAGAGCGUUUCAGUUCGUGUAUAGGGGCGGGGACUUGGACUGGAGACAAAGAAAAGAGUUUUGCUUCUGAAGAAUAGUAAGCAGCAUUACAUAUUAGCAUAUAGAGAGAACUUGGACAAUAACGUACUUCGACGUCAGCUGUUACUUGUUGAUACACUUAGUACCAUUGGUAAUGGAUUAUGUAUGCCUCUACUAAUCCUAGGCUUCGAAGGUCUAAUUCAUCCUUUUGGAAAAAUUGGGAAUAGCAAGAGGGUGGCUAACGCAGUUUGUAAGUGGGCGGUAAAGGAUCGGAAAGGGUAUACCCAACAACAACUUGACGAGGUCCGCAUUGAAGUGGCCGACUACUUACAGACUCUGCUGUAGGUUCUGACCAGUUUCUUGAUUUUGAGUUAGA